rnacentral:tRNA from 1 species
UCCAGGGUAGCCUAGUGAACAUGGCAUCUGCCCGGUAAGCGGAAGGUCGUGGGUUCGAUUCCCGCCCCUGGAC